rnacentral:rRNA from 1 species
GAUGAACGCUAGCGGCAGGCCUAACACAUGCAAGUCGAGGGGUAGAACACUUCGGUGUUUGAGACCGGCGCACGGGUGCGUAACGCGUAUGCAAUCUACCUUGUACAGGGGAAUAGCCCAGAGAAAUUUGGAUUAAUGCCCCAUAGUAUAUAACCUUCGCAUGUUGGUUAUAUUAAAGUUCCAACGGUACAAGAUGAGCAUGCGUCCCAUUAGUUAGUUGGUAAGGUAACGGCUUACCAAGACGAUGAUGGGUAGGGGUCCUGAGAGGGAGAUCCCCCACACUGGUACUGAGACACGGACCAGACUCCUACGGGCGGCAGCAGUGAGGAAUAUUGGUCAAUGGGCGCAAGCCUGACCCAGCCAUGCCGCGUGCAGGAAGACGGUCCUAUGGAUUGUAAACUGCUUUUAUACAGGAAGAAACCCUCCCACGUGUGGGAGAUUGACGGUACUGUAGGAAUAAGGAUCGGCUAACUCCGUGCCAGCAGCCGCAGUAAUAC